AGGAAGCACUUCCGGGAUUGGAGGAAGCGGCUUAUAAAUCGGAACUGGUGGAGGAAGCACUUUCGGAACAUCCGGAGGACAUGGUUUCUUUUCAGGAACUGGCGGAGGUUUAUAGACAGGAGGUGGAGGAGGAAGCACUUUCGGAACAUCUGGAGGACAUGGUUUCUUUUCAGGAACUGGCGGAGGUUUAUAGACAGGAGCUGGAGGAGGAAGCACUUUCGGAACGUCUGGAGGACAUGGUUUCUUUUCAGGAACUGGCGGAGGUUUAUAGACCGGAGCAGGUGGAGGCUCCGGUUUCUUCUUUUCAGGAACCGGCGGAGGUUUAUAGACCGGAACUGGUGGAGGCUUGACAUAGACCGGAACCGGCGGGGGAAGAAACAAUGGGGGACAUGGUUUCUUGUAGAUGGGAGGGAGAGGGAAA
rnacentral:lncRNA from 1 species